UGCUAUGUCUGGGCUUCUGCUGUAAGCUCAUUCAGCAGAGGGAUAAACCCUUUAUAAAGGAUUUAUAAUUUGGCCAUUGGCAUUGCAUGAGUCCCUGAAGAAGAGCUGCUGACACCAAAAGCACUUUGAGGGAUGACUGAAUUACUUUUUUUAGGGAAGAGAUUUUGGCCAGCACUAAAACACAUGCAGUUGACUGAAACCACUAUUACACUGAUAAAUCCCUGACCACAUCCACCCUCUUGUGGAGCUGAACAUCUGCACCUUUCCAUCAAGAAUAUCUACUGAGGACAUCUGAUCCAUGCCAAAGCCCCUUCAGCUUAGGCUUCAUAUCACUACUGCCCUGAAAUCUGGCCAGGAGAGGAACAAGUACUGCCAUCUUACUGUAAAAGCUGCCCUGGCUUUUCUCAUCUACAGCAAGCACUUCUUGUGACAAACAACAGGAUUUUUCACCAGUGAGCUGAGACUGAAGACAAAAAGUCAGCAAGAACAUAACAGCAAUUUAGACUGAAGCAGAAAAAUGUACUGAUGAAUUGCCUGUCUCCUAAACUGUAAAUCCAAGCACAACUGAAUCUUUUCUGACACGAUUUUUGCUAAAAAAUGUCUAAUAUUUACUUUGUGGACUCUGCAUGGUAAUUUUACUGAAGGGGUGUUGGGGAUGGAUUAUUGGCAAUGCUUUUGUGCUCUCCACUCUGAAGAUCUGCACAUUUCUCAAGUGAGUUGAUUGGUGUGGUGGAUUUUUAUCCAAUUAUAGGCAUUAAGUUCUGCCUCCACUAGAAGAGAUGGUAGUUGCUGCAUCUGAAGAUAACUAUACACAUACAUGUGGCAAUGGGGUAUUCACUUGGCAAGGCUAGGUGAUUUUCUGCUUGUAAAGCUAUUUAACAGUGCCAAUAAAAACUAUGGCCUUCUUUUUCUACGAGUUACAUGCCAAUACAGGACAUGUUUAUCCAACGUAAUUAGCCCAAAGACACCAAGAGUUGGAUUGCUUUAAGUAGCCAUGCUUUAUAAUCACUGCAGCAAGACUUAAUUAGCCCAAGCAGAGGGUUAUGCUCGCAGAAAACACUGCUUUGAUAGCUCAUCUACCUAGUUUAGUAAAUGACCCUUAAUACCUCUAAACACAACUAUGUUGUGAAACAUUAAAUAUAAAAUAUAUAUACCCAGAGGGUGGCAAGAGGCAGCCAGCUUGUGUGAUUUCAAAGUCUGUCUCUGAAACAGCAGUCUGUUAACCCCUACAUUGACAUCAGCAUUAAUCUGAGCUUGCAAAAAGAGAAAAGAAAAAUAAAGUAAUGCAGUGAUGUUGA